GGGCUUAGAAAAAUUAAAAGUGCACUCCUGCCAGGACAGUGUGGCCCCCAGCACCUGCUCUGGUGCUAAAGCUCUUUACCCCACAUUCAGUGACCCCCAACAGGCUGUUUUCUGGAUUCUCAUUUUUUUUUUUUUUUUUUUUACCAUUUUCCUAAGUUCUAAUGGAUUCUCUAAGGAGGAAAGCACAUGAGCUGUGAAGUAUGAACGUGGUGACAGAUUCUGGCGCUCAGCUGGAUUUUCAGGGGCAGACAGAACACCUCGGAGGACAUGAUGAUAGUGCUGGAAGGGACACAAAACAGCCUCUCAUCUAACCUCCUCCUCCUACAUUGGCACCUGGCACAUAUAAGGUACAUGGGGCCCAUAGGUCAGUGCUUAUUCUCGUCCCCCUCCCCACGAUGGCUUUCACGGAUGAUGGAUCCGAGGCGGGCAGAGGAUAAACUCUUGGCCACGAUCACACAGCUUGUGGACGUCUGAGGCCCGGUUUAAACUCGGCUCUUCCUGUCGCCAGGCCCAGUGUGUUGUUCACUGCAUUCCUGUUACUCCUGGCACAGAAUCAACGAGAGAGAAACAGUGGGACCACAUCACGAACACCAGACCCCAAAAAGAUGUGGGGCUGCCUUUAGAGGCCCCUCGCCACCCCAGCCACCUUCUUCCAAUGGCUGAUGUACAUGAACCUGUCCUUGGUGAGGAGAACAAAAGCAGAUCCGGCCCUGCAGGGCAAACAUGUCAGUGUUUUUAUUUAUCGAGCAUUUAUUCCCAGCUCAAUUUAAAGGCAGGUGAGCUAAAUGGCUUCAGAAAUCGCAGGUUGUCCCCCAGGACAGAUGCGAACCCCUCAGAGCUAAGGUCUCCCUUCUCAUUCUGCUGCGAGCCCGGGAUGAAGGGGCUGCCGGGAGAGGCAGGAUGGUGCGACGUGGAGAUGGCAGUGCUGGGGCCUUGCCAGGCUGUCCUGGACACAGCGUCUUCGAGGUGGGGCAGCUGCACUGGGCACCUGAAGUGACUUUGUCUUAGGGGAACAGAGUUAGUUCCAAUGGGAAAUCCACGAUCCUUCUACUACACUCUAAGCUCCUUCGUAUGCUCAAAGCACCACAGGGUCUGGUACAGAGAUGACAAAUGCUUGUUGAGCGGCUACAACUUUGUUUUCAAGGAAUUAACAUCUAAUCAAACUCAAUCAGAACCAUAAAGUAUAAACUUAUUCUCACACUAC